rnacentral:lncRNA from 1 species
GCCAUUUCAUGCACAUCAGCAAAUACAUCCCUAGAGUUGCUGCAGAGAAAACUAAGGCACCCAUCUUCCGCUGACUUUGGACAUCAGAGCUCCAGGUUCUCUCUCCUAGAACUGAGACACCCAUCUGCUGCUGCCUGUGGACAUCAGAACUCCAGGUUCUCUCUGUUAGAACUGAGACGCCCAUCUUCUGAUGCUUUUGGACAUCAGAGUUCCAGAUUAUCUCUCCUAGACCUCAGACAUACAUCUGCUGCUGCCUUUGGACAUCAGAACUCCAGGUUCUCUCUCGUAGAACUGAGACACCCAUCUUCUGAUGCCUUUGGACAUCAGAACUCCAGAUUCUGUUUUCUAGACCUGAGACACCCAUCUGCUGCUGCCUUUGGACAUCAGAACUCCAGGUUCUCUCACGUAGAACCGAGGCACCCAUCUUCUGCUGCCUUUGGACAUCAGAACUCCAGAUUCUCAGGCCUUUGUACUCUAGGAUGUGUAGCAGCAACCCCUGCCCCAGGUUUUCAGGCCUUUGGCCUCAGACUUCAAGCUACACCUCUGGCUUCUCUGGUUCUGAGGCUUUUGGACUUGGACUGAGCCAUGCUGCAGGCAUCCCUGGGUCUCCAGCUUGCAUAUGGCCUGUUGUAGGACUUCUCAGCCUCCAUAAUCAUGUGUAAAGUGGAGUUUUCCAUAGACUGCAAGAUGAAUGAUAUAACAACAGAUUAAAUGCGGAAACAAAUAUGAGACUGUAGCUGUCUUCUAUUAAGCCAUAAAAAGCACUCUGUGAAAGUGUCAUUCUUCUCACGAAGAAUUUUUGAUUUUUUUCAAUAAGUCUAUCUUUUUUAUUUUAAUGUGUUAUGGUAUUUUUGUUUUUAUGUGUGU